rnacentral:rRNA from 1 species
AACGAACGCUGGCGGCAUGCCUAACACAUGCAAGUCGAACGAUGCUUUCGGGCAUAGUGGCGCACGGGUGCGUAGCGCGUGGGAAUCUGCCCUUGGGUUCGGAAUAACAGUGAGAAAUUGCUGCUAAUACCGGAUGAUGUCUUCGGACCAAAGAUUUAUCGCCCAGGGAUGAGCCCGCGUAGGAUUAGCUAGUUGGUGGGGUAAUGGCCUACCAAGGCGACGAUCCUUAGCUGGUCUGAGAGGAUGAUCAGCCACACUGGGACUGAGACACGGCCCAGACUCCUACGGGAAGCAGCAGUGGGGAAUAUUGGACAAUGGGCGCAAGCCUGAUCCAGCAAUGCCGCGUGAGUGAUGAAGGCCUUAGGGUUGUAAAGCUCUUUUACCCGGGAUGAUAAUGACAGUACCGGGAGAAUAAGCUCCGGCUAACUCCGUG